rnacentral:other from 1 species
AGAAGCCUGAGAUGUUCGACAAUCCUGUGUAUUUAGAACCUACAUUUACUUUAAACGGGAUUCCAAUAUGAGCUGUUAGAUGUCAGGCCGCCAUAGUCAGCGGAAGGCAGAAGGCAGACUGAGGUUACCCACCUGGCUGUUAGCUAGGAGUCUAAAUUACAGGAACCGGCAUUUUGGGUGUCUU